UCAAACUUGGUCAUUUAGAGGAAGUAAAAGUCGUAACAAGGUUUCCGUAGGUGAACCUGCGGAAGGAUCAUUAAUGUGUUUGAGCCUUCUGGCUCUUCAUCCUGACGCUGUGCGCCCUCGGGCUGCACGCUGAAGGAGCAUAUAUCCACCCCUGUGCACACACACGGUGGUGAGCUGGGUAACGGCUCGCCGCUGAUCUUUACACACGUCUAAAAAGUCUAGUAUGUUUUAUUAUUAUAAAAACACAACUUUCAGCAACGGAUCUCUUGGCUCUCGCAUCGAUGAAGAACGCAGC
rnacentral:misc_RNA from 1 species